GGAAUGGCACAAUUGGUAGCGCAACGGUCUCCAAAACCGUAGGUUGUGGGUUCGAGUCCCGCUUCCC
rnacentral:tRNA from 1 species